rnacentral:piRNA from 1 species
CGGACUGUCCGGGAUCUGCAAAAACACAC